rnacentral:rRNA from 1 species
AGCGAACGCUGGCGGCAGGCCUAACACAUGCAAGUCGAACGAACCUUUCGGGGUUAGUGGCGGACGGGUGAGUAACACGUGGGAACGUGCCUUUAGGUUCGGAAUAACUCAGGGAAACUUGUGCUAAUACCGAAUGUGCCCUUCGGGGGAAAGAUUAAUCGCCUUUAGAGCGGCCCGCGUCUGAUUAGCUAGUUGGUUGAGGUAAUGGCUCACCAAGGCGACGAUCAGUAGCUGGUCUGGGAGGAUGAUCAGCCACAUUGGGACUGAGACACGGCCCAAACUCCUACGGGAGGCAGCAGUGGGGAAUCUUGCGCAAUGGGCGAAAGCCUGACGCAGCCAUGCCGCGUGAAUGAUGAAGGUCUUAGGAUUGUAAAAUUCUUUCACCGGGGACGAUAAUGACGGUACCCGGAGAAGAAGCCCCGGCUAACUUCGUG